rnacentral:rRNA from 1 species
CAGAGGUCUCAACCGUUGUUCGGAUUCAUUGGGCGUAAAGGGUGCGUAGGCGGUCGCGCAAGUCGGAUGUGAAAUCUUAGGGCUCAACCCUGAAACUGCAUUCGAUACUGCGUGGCUAGAGUACUGGAGAGGAGACUGGAAUUUACGGCGUAGCAGUGAAAUGCGUAGAUAUCAUAAGGAAGACCAGUGGCGAAGGCGAGUCUCUGGACAGUUACUGACGCUGAGGCACGAAGGCCAGGGGAGCAAACGGGAUUAGAUACCCCGGUAGUCCUGGCAGUAAACGGUGUACGUUUGGUGUAGGCGGAUUCGACCCCGCCUGUGCCGGAGCUAACGCGUUAAACGUACCGCCUGGGAAGUACGGUCGCAAGAUUA